rnacentral:rRNA from 1 species
GAUGAACGCUGGCGGCGUGCCUAAUACAUGCAAGUCGAGCGAACGGACGAGAAGCUUGCUUCUCUGAUGUUAGCGGCGGACGGGUGAGUAACACGUGGAUAACCUACCUAUAAGACUGGGAUAACUUCGGGAAACCGUAGCUAAUACCGGAUAAUAUUUUGAACCGCAUGGUUCAAAAGUGAAAGACGGUCUUGCUGUCACUUAUAGAUGGAUCCGCGCUGCAUUAGCUAGUUGGUAAGGUAACGGCUUACCAAGGCAACGAUGCAUAGCCGACCUGAGAGGGUGAUCGGCCACACUGGAACUGAGACACGGUCCAGACUCCUACGGGAGGCAGCAGUAUGGAAUCUUCCGCAAUGGGCGAAAGCCUGACGGAGCAACGCCGCGUGAGUGAUGAAGGUCUUCGGAUCGUAAAACUCUGUUAUUAGGGAAGAACAUAUGUGUAAGUAACUGUGCACAUCUUGACGGUACCUAAUCAGAAAGCCACGGCUAACUACGUG